ensembl:lncRNA
CUGGCAGCUUGAGUCAGCUCCCUCCUCUGAUGUCCAGUUACUCUAAGGAGAGUGUUUUUGAGGGCCUACUCUGUGCAGGUACUAUGCUGGGUACUGGAGUACAAGCACGCGGAGGACUCAGUCCCUGCCCUUGAGAAACCACAGGAUGGUGGAGGAGACAGAUAAUCAGUGCCUUCUGCACAGAGUGCAGAAUUGGAACACUCUGUCUUGGCAAGUCAUGCCUCCUUGGAGAGCGUUCAGAAGGAGCUGCCCUUUCUGGCCCGGAGCAAACCGAACCUCAGAAGACCUGGAACACUCCUUCAUUCGGCUGACUGCUGCUGCCUCAGCAUCAUCCCUGUGGAAGCCUGCUUCACGUACCGAUGAGGUCGCCCUCCUGUCUGCAUCUCUGAGAGUCAUGGUUACGAUUCUGCACUGGGGGCUUCUUCCCCCACUAGCCUGUGGUAAUAUACAUACUCUUCCUUUCCAACUGCAACUCUCCAUUGCUUUUGGCAGCAAAAGCUCUGCUCAGGGUCAAGAUGAGAGAGUGACUGGUACUAGCCAAAGAAAAUUGAGAUGUAUUCUUACAGCGCAUUGAAUGAUGGCCCCCCAAAUAUAUGUCUGCAUCCUGAUCCCCAGAAUCUGUGCAUGUUACUUGAUCUGGAAAAAGGGUCUUUGCAGACAUAAUUCAAUUAAGAAUCUUGAGAUGACAUCUCCCUGGAUUAUCCAGUGGGCUUUAAAUUAGAUGACCUGUGUCCUUAUUAUUAAAAGGGCAGAGAGAGGUUUGAAACAGACAGAAGAGAAGAAGAUGCUGAGAGGAGAAGGCGGUGUGAAGACAGAGGCAGAGAUUGGACUGAUGUGGUUACAAACCAAGGAGUGUCGGCAGCCACUAGAAAGGAAGAGAGAGUCGUGGAGUGGAUUCUCUCCCAGAGCCUCGGAAGGAAGUGUGGCCCCACUGACAGCACGAUUGUGGACUUCUGCCUCCAGAACUUGAGAGAGUACAUUUGUAUUGUUUUAACUCAUCCAGUUGGUGGUAAUUUGUUACAGCAGCCCUAUGAAAGUAAUAGAAUUCUGAAAUGCUAUCUGCUCACAAAUUUCAACGUGAAAGAUAUAAACACCCAAACCUCAGUCCAGAUUCCAAUGGUGAGAAGCCCCCAUGGAAGCCUCGACAGCCCCUUUGGACUCAGCAGUCCCGCGGAGUAUUUCCCCAGGGUUUCCUGACGCCCCUGCCUCCUCCCUCAGAGCUUUGACCCUGCCACUCUAUUGCGGGUCCUGUGUAACCUUCCCCAGAAAUGCACUUGGCUGAGCCCCACACCGCAGCUCUUAGGAUGUUUAGGACUAUUUUUCACCUACCCAAGUUCCAGGGUUCUAGGGCGUAGGAAAGUAUUAAAAUGUGCCUGAAAACCUUAUAACAAGGAUCUGUCAAUUCUGGGUCUGGGAGUGUAGGCCUGUCUUUGCAGCACCAGGCUUGUACCACAGUGUGGUCAACAUUAAGGACUAGAUACUGCGUGCUGAGUGGUUAAAUCUAGCAUAUAUUCCUACCAGACUUGCCCGGGCGAACAGGGAACAGGAGGAAGUUGUAUUCUCAUUUCCUCCACAUCUCCUUCAAAAGCUUCCACACCCCUAAGCCCUCAGGGCUUCUGUGCUGGUCCGAUCUUCUCUCUGCAGGGCCCAUUCUGCUCCUCCUCUCCCCCUACCCACAAAAUGAACCUGUCCCAGGCCUGUUGGUCCAGGCCUUUCUCCAAUGUUAAGGGACAAUUAUCAUUAGUGCAUUAAUGAGGUCAGCUCAGGAGUUUGACAAAUUUCUCAUGAUGGAAACCAGAUGGAGGAAGGUGGGUUGCGCGGUGUACCCGUGGGCGGAUUCAUAGUUGGCUGAAGGCAUUCACUCUGAAAAAAAUCCCUGGCCUUCUGAAGCCAGGUUUCUUGCCCUUGGGCCAAUCCUAGUCAACAUUUCAAUCAAUGAUUUGAAUAAAGUCAAAGAGGAAAGCUUAUCUAAUUUGCAAAUGACCAAACUCUGAGCAAUGUAGAAAACAUAUUUGUGCACAUGCUCAGUAU